GAUGAAGAACGUAGUGAAAUGCGAUAAGUAGUGUGAAUUGCAGAAUUCAGUGAAUCAUCGAAUCUUUGAACGCACAUUGCGCCCCUUGGUAUCCCGAGGGGCAUGCCUGUUCGAGCGUCAUUUCACCACUCAAGCCUGGCUUGGUGUUGGGCGACGUCCUCUUUGGGGACGCGUCUCGAAACGCUCGGCGGCGUGGCACCGGCUUUAAGCGUAGCAGAAUCUUUCGCUUUGGAAGUCGGGGCCCCGUCUGCCGGAAGACCUGCUCGCAAGGUUGACCUCGGAUCAGGCAGGGAUACCCGCUGAACUUAAGCAUAUCAAUAAGCGGAGGA
rnacentral:misc_RNA from 1 species